NCCUGUAUUCAAAAGUGAUCACUGGCCUAAUCACUGUGCCCUGAUCAUUGAUACUGCUGGAAGAGGAUGCAGAAAGCUUUUUCCCUGUGUUUGGAAGGUCCACUCCUAUCCUUGCCAGACCCUGGUGCUUAGUACA
ensembl:snoRNA SNORA71 Small nucleolar RNA SNORA71